UUUUUAGAACAUCAUUAUUGAUAAGAAAAAUCUUAUAAAUACUUUACCAACAAAAAAAUAUACAGUAUAUUUGAAUUAUAUAAGUAGAUUUUAAAAUGCGAAAAUGUAUAAGCCAAUAAAAAUAAAAACUAGUGUCUUGAGAGUUUUUCAAAACUUAAAAACAGUUAAAAACUGAGGUACAGGAGGGUAAAUAGAUAUUUAUUUAAUUUGUUCACUCAAUAGAUUCUUAUCUCUUACCAGCAUUUUAGAUUUGUGUAUACUGAGCUAAUUAACUCUUUUUUUACUUCCAAUCAAAGCAUCAAUAUUUGACUUGAUUUAAAUAAUUUUUUUCAUUUUUUUUUUUAAACACUAAAAUUAUAUUAUUAAGAUGAGAUACAUGGUGGAAUGCGGUUGUAAGAUACAAAGCCAGCAAGCAACGAGUACUUCUGGAAACUAGGCCAGCAAGCAACUGAGUGCUUCUGGAAAGUAAGCCCUAUCAAAGGGAAACAAGAUAGAAACAUAAGACAAGUAAAACUAAACACAGGGGAAUGAAACGACGUAACAAAUAUAAACGAGACAGAUGCAGUCCAAAUGAUGAAGUUCAAACCCAAUCGCAUAAAUCAACCUUACUCCUCCAGGCCUCUGACAAGAGUUACCAAAACUGUGUUGAUAACUUAACCCACCUAUAGUGAAUAAGCGUAGAAUAAUCAAGCACGGCUUCCAAACCGGAAGGAAAGAACCGAUAACGGUUCGAGAUCCAACUUCCGAACGGCGAAGUCGACAGAGAGCGACGGUGGAGCGCCUAAUGAGAAGCGAGUCAAAGAAGCGAGAUCACGACCAGAUCUCAUGGGAAAUGACAAGGAGCGGUUACGAUCUUGACCGAACAAACCAAUCUCAUGCGAACAAGAGUAGGAAGGAUCGAAUCCGGCAAGAUCCAAAGAAGCCACGGAGAACAAGGCCAUGCAGAUCAAGAUUAGAAACAAUCACCAUAAAGACAUCAUUGUUAAAUCUGAGAUCAAACGGUGAGCAUGCAAGGGAAAACUGAGUUGAACCACAGAUCUAGAACUAGAUUGAGACGACAAGAGAGGCAAAAGGACAAGCCACUCCAAUGAUCCAUAAGAUCCAGAACCUCUAGCCGCUUAACCAGACUAAAUCACAGCCAAAAGAAUUUUGACAGCAUCAAUAAAGCAUCACCGAAUGAUUUUGCGUCGAAACAAAAUCCCCUUACAUCACAAACAAACUAAACGAAAAGGACAUAAGAAAAAGAUACCGGCUCCGGUGCUAAGAGAGCCACCGGAGCCGAUGAACAAAGUCUACGAUCUGAGAUCAGAAGAUUCUAGAGAGAAGGGAGAGAAAAUAAAGAAGAGAGAAGUAUGUAAGGUAAAUAAUUUUUUUCAUUAUGUUCACUUUUGCCACGAAGAUAAAGGUGGAAAUCUUAUUGUCUUUGCUUGUAUAUGUAGAAAAGGUCUCUCAUGACUUUUACUUUUCUUAUUUGUCAGAGCUAUAUUUCAAUUUUUAUUUAUUCGAUGUAAGAAAGACGACAGGAUGCACUAGAGGGUCACAGGUUUUUGAUUAUGCUGACCACAAAACUGAAAAGAAUCUGUAAAUUUCUUUAUACAAAACCUGCCACUUGGAUUAACACAAUUACCCAAAGAAUAUUGGUCCGGUUUUGAUGGAAAAUAGAUGAAUAAAAAAUAAAAAAUGAAAAAUCGUGGAAGACUGUUAGGUGCAAAACCAGAGUUCGAAAGUCUCAAGACUCUCAACUUUAUUCUCCUCGGAGCAUGGCCCAAAAACUCCACGACAAAUAAUACUGUUAUUUUAGGUUGCCAAAUUAUUUUAGUCGUGAUUCACAAGAACAAUCUAACACGAAAUAAAAUAAUAGAAUCUUACUUUUUUCUGUUUAUAUUUUGUUUGAAAAUGAUACAUUAGUCAAAAGAAACGUUCUUAUAAUUUCAACUAAUCGGCCUUAAGCUAGGUCCUGAUCACUCAACUUAGACGAAAGUGGUUUUCUUUAACUUUCUUCGAACCAGGCCUAAUGGGCUUUUAAAAAAAAUAUCUAGCAAUCUAACUUCUGGCCCGUUUACGCAUUCACUUCGUCUCCUCCUUCAUCGACUCUUUUAUCUCUCAACUCUCAAGCUCUGAGAUCUCAGAUUCGUCGCCGUUCAUCGUCUCCGUUGCAUAAUCGAGUAAAUGGAUCAAGAGGCAGCUGAAACUGCAAGAGAGUCAUUGGAGCUUGUGUUUCGGAUGUCGAACAUCUUGGACACUGGUCUCGAUCGACAUACCUUGUCUGUUCUAAUAGCUCUCUGUGAUCUUGGUCUUAACCCUGAGGCUCUAGCUGCUGUUGUCAAGGAGCUUCGGCACGAAUCUGGCAACAACUUUGGCAGAAGCUUAAGAUAAUAAUAAUUCAAAUCCUUUGGAAGAUGGAUCAAUACUAAAACAUCUGCGAUUGUUUUCUUUUUUUCUGUAUGUUUUAACUAUCGAGUGGUUCUUGAAAUAUAUAGCCUUAUCGAGUGUU